GCUGGGUGUGGUGGCGGGCACCUGUAAUCCCAGCUACCUCGGAGGCUGAGGCAGGAGACUUGCAUGAACCCAGGAGGCGGAGGUUGCAGUGAGCUGAGAUCACGCCACUGCACUCCAGCCUGGGUGACAGAGCGAGACUCUGUCUCAA
rfam:Homo sapiens chromosome 3, GRCh38 reference primary assembly.